GCUCAACAGGAGUAGCUCGUGCUACGUCCACACCGCCGGAGAGGACGCCAAGAUGAGCAUGGAGGUGCAUGGGUUGCGCAUUCGGAUGAAGACUCAAUAGGUGGAGCAGCAAGAGGUGCCCCUCCGUAGGGCAGAUUUGUGGCCACACAUCUAUCACCAGCUGGUCCAUAUAGAGGAGGAGAUAAGAUACA